rnacentral:lncRNA from 1 species
UUGCAAAGUCAGAAUGUGAUCGAGAUGGGAUUGACCACUCCAAGAGUUGGAGAAGAAUGAGUCACUGUAUUUCAAUUUAGCAAAAUCUUGGCCAGGAUAAUCCAUCAGAUGGAUUUGAUAUUUUGAAAUACAAUAUCGACAACCUAAUCAGAGUUGACAGUUGAACUCUGAGAUGUCCUAUGAGCAUUUUGGUCAAGGGGAUGAAUUAUAUGAAAACUAUAUCCGCAUGGGUUCUAAGGAUACUUUUCUACACAUUCGAUCUAUCCGGC